rnacentral:rRNA from 1 species
UACGAGGGGGGCGAGCGUUGUUCGGAUUCACUGGGCGUAAAGGGUGCGUAGGCGGUCGGGUAAGUCUGAUGUGAAAUCUCACAGCUUAACUGUGAAACUGCAUUGGAUACUAUUCGGCUUGAGAGUUGGAGGGGGGACUGGAAUUCUUGGUGUAGCAGUGAAAUGCGUAGAUAUCAAGAGGAACACCUGUGGCGAAAGCGGCUCACUGGACCAUUACUGACGCUGAGGCACGAAAGCUAGGGGAGCAAACAGG